AGGAGGCGCCUCCGCGUCCGUCCUGGGCCAAUGGCGCACAGAGUAGCCUUAUCAUACUUCUACCCGGCUGGCCAAUGGCGCACCUCGCCCCGGCUCACAUGACGCCUUUCUGUGCGCUCCCUGUCCUCUCAGCGCUCAAUCCCGGCGAGUGCAGGCAUCACUAAAGACCUGACAUCGACGGAAUCGGACGUCCACUGUCCUCACCGCGGGCGACCAGGUGAUAUCUUUACGCGAACCGCGCCUCCCCUCCGAUGAAGCAGACUCAGUCGAUGAGGAUGACCCGCGCCUUGCUUCAGGAAGACACUUUUUUCGCCCCCCGUGUCCGAGCGGAGAGAGACGCAGCGAACCAGUAACGCCCAGAACUUAUUGAAAUGAAUUGUCCUAAAAAAAGACGUUGGCACAAGAAGAGCGUUUUCACCAAAAAAGAAGAAGGAAGCAGCUAAGAGAUUAAAGAGAUGUCCAGACAUGAAGGAGGCACGCAAGCGUACACACACGCUCGGCGAAAUGGCACCUUGAGGCUGUCUGCGGUCUACCACCACCCCACCCCAUACACACACACUCACACACACAGAGCUGUUACAGUAAAGGAAGAGACCACCGAGUCAGGAAGAUAGUAAUAACGGGAAUGUUAGAAAACAAACCCAUUAUCCACCCUUGUUUUCUUCUUUGAAUUGAAACCAUUUUUUUCAUCAAAUGAUGAAAUUAUUCAUUAUGAAAAGUCAGCUGUGAUCAACUUGUCUGUUCUGCACUUUAAGUUGUUGUUAAAAAUUCUAAUUUAUUCAGUUUUUGGAGUCUUUAUGUUCAUGCUACAUUUUUUUCCCUGUCAUUCAAAAUCUGUCUUCACAAGUUUAACAGCUCCACAUCUGCAGCAGCCCUCCAUAACCAAUUCAUGUGACCCACCCAGAGUCCCUCCCAGGCUUUCCAGCUUCCUGCAAAGAACUACUUCUCACUGAAAAAAAAAAAGAAAAACUGCUAAAAUUAUGGUGCAGCAUUGCGGGAAACCCCUCCCUCGCAGUCUUCGUAUUCACUUUCGUCCUACUUUUGCUUUGACUGUGAGUUUGAGAAAAACUUGUUUUAAAAAGGAAAAAAAAACAUGCUCUCCAUACUAGUUUGCAUCUCCAACGCUCCAAGUUUAGACUAAGGGCUACAAAUUUAGCUUUUCUUUUCAAUGUUUUUUUCUUCUUUGGUCUUUUUUUCUUCAUACUUAAAGAAUUUCCUUUAUUACUUCUAAAUAAACACUCCUAGGUGUACAACAUAUGAAAAUAGUGUUUAUUUAGAUGUUGUGCUGAUAAAAAAGACCAGAAUGAAUGGUGGAGUAAACCUUUUGGUUUAUAAAGCCUAAACUUUGUCAUAAAAUCAGCACAGCUUGUUUAAAUGCAGCUUAAAUAGGAAAAGUGCAUCAUUUACUUCCAGCUUUAGGUUAACUGGCGGCCCCACCCUCCCGGCGGCCGUGUCACUAACCAGCUCUAAUGAUACACUCCAUCAUUCCAACUCCCUCUGCACAGGGGCUAGCUUGGUUAACCGUCGGCCGAGUGUGUGUGUGUGUGUACAUGCUUCAGCUAUCAAAGCACUUUAGAAUCAGAGAGCGAAGAACUCACACUGCUAAUGGAUGUGUCUAUUGAUGUUCCUAUUUAGCAGCACACUGUAAACGAUAGGGCAAUGAUUGUGUUGAAGAUGGAAGGAGGUGGAGGAGGAGGAGGAGGAGUGGGGGAAGAAGAGCGGUUUGGAUGAUAAUGACGAGGAAGGUUAUUAUUUGGCGCCCUAUGGAGUCUCUUAACUGUGUGUGUGUUGUGAAACAGAAAGAGACACUCUUCCGUUUAUAUCCAUCCAUCCUCAUGUUGUCUUUUACUCACUUCUUGCCUGCUUUAUCACACUUCUCUUCAUUUUUCAGCUUUCAAAAUCUUUUAUUUUAUUUUUAAAAAAUGCAAGGCGAUAGGUUAAUGCUUUUUAAAACCACAAACUAGUGCUUGAGAAAUUAAUUGGUCAACUUUUCCCGUCCGACUCUGUGUACGUGUCAUGUCAGUUCCAGUAAUUGUGCGUGUGAUGAAUACGAAAACAGUCAGCCUGUCAGCGGGUUUGGCAGGAGACCACCUCCAGCUGGACUUAGACCCCAGCUCAGGUGUGUCUGUGUGUGUUCUGUGAGCGUGGCACGUCUGUUCAGAUCUGUCAGUGCAGGGACAACCUCAGGAAGAAGCCACCAAAUAAUGAAAACAAACAUAGCUCCUCGCCAGACCCACAAACAGCACAUUCAAGCGCACACAGGUUUAAAUCCUUUCUUUCCUCAUUUCGAAAAGGAUUGGAGCCUAUACCAAUUAUUAUAUACAUAUGUUUUUACCAAUCUGUCUCUGACGAUUUUUUUUCCUAAUUUGUAGAAUUAUGUUCGCUGGAAAACUGCAGUAAUUUCCAAAAUGUCCUUGCAGUAAAAAAUCAAUCUCCCGGUGUGUUUGUGUGUGAGUUCGUGUAUGUCUAUAAUUGCAGGGCAGCAGAUAAAAAGACGCCAUUCCAGCUGUGAGGAGACGGAAGGAGUCGGCAUACACAGUGUCUGUCUCCUCGUCACACACACACACACACACAGACACGCAGAGCUGGGGGCGCGUGAGCAGGUGAGCAUUAAGUCAGGGAGCUAAACGGAUCACUUCGCGGUAUGAUAUCAGCAGACAGGCAGACUGGGGAGGCCGGUCUUUACCUGCAGGUAGAGAGCAACAACUCACAGCAGCGUUGCCAAGAAGUUCCAACCCCCAACACUACUUUGAAACUAUGUCGUACUCUAAAGAUUUAAAUAUAUUCUAAACAUUUUAGGUUCUGACUUCUUCAAAAAAUGAGAAAUGUAUGCAGAAAAAAUGGUUGAAAAAGAACAAAAAAUGUAAAAUAUUUUUUAUUUUAGAUUUAUUAUUGCUAAUUUGAAUUUUUUUAUUCUAUUUUUUACAUACCUGUAUAUAGAAUUAAAGGAAAUGUGAAAGUAUCUCAUGGGAAUCGAUUAACAUUUUUUAUGUCGUCGUGUUGAAAUACCCGCUUUCGUCCUUAACUAAACUUAUUUUUUUCCCUGUCUGCAUUUUUUGUCACCGCUCGUUUUAAAUCUUUUUGAAGCCGUCCCUCCUUCCCAAUCUGCUCGGCACAUGUGGCCUUUAUCUGCGGCGUCCUCUAUGACUAGCAUAGUAAUUCCAUCCCGCCGAACGGCCUCUGAAGCUUCUGUUGCUCACGGAGCAGCUUCACAGAACAAACCGGCCCGACUUUGUGUUUUUUGAAGUAAUAUGGUUUCGUUGGCUUCCAAGAUCGCGAUCGAGAUCAACAUUAGUCUGUUUUUUUAUAUAUAUUUUUUUUCAAAAGCUCUUUAUAUUUAGCCUGCUUCUCAACUCUCACCACCCCAUCCACUUAUCUAAAAUGAUUCAGUGGUUAAAUGUCAGAGCUGUCCAUGCCAUUAAGGCCAGCUUGUUUGAAGGAAGGACACCCUCCCCUCCUCCUUCCUCUGUCUCUUCUUAUUUCUCUCACUUUCCCCCCAGCUUCCACAUCUUCUACCACCCCCAUCCUUACUCAGCCGGGUUGGUUUGAGGGCUGAUGUGCAGACCUUGUCAUUCAGAUUAAGGCCACAUUGUCAGCUCAGGGCUCUUCUCUCUUUAGCUGCGUGUCCCGGAUCUUUCUUCCCACUGUCACCACAGUCCUGCGGCUAGAGGGGACCUUAUAAAGCUACGUUCCUUCUCAUCCACUUCUGUCAAUUCCAACACUGUCACUCAAAUCACUGUCCAGGAGAGUGAAGGAACCCGAGUUAGCGGUGUCCCUCUCAGCAAGGACUGUGCUUUUUGGCCCAAGCUUAGGCAGCGUGUCAUCAACUAACACGUUGGUUUUUGGUCUUAGGGUUUAAACUAAUAAUAGUCUUUCUUGUACUGGGUAGUUAUUUUAUAUCAAAAGCUCCUGUGUGAGUCAAAGACGAGAGGAGGUGACUUAUCCGCCACAUCAUUUUAGUCACUCCUUAUCUUUCUCUGGAAAAGUGACCUGUCACGGUAUUUGUCAUUCCACCACAUUGUGACUCACUGCCACAUCUAAUUACACAAGCAGUGGUGAAGCUUUUGAUUCUUCAGUAACUGAUCUUUUCUUGUUUUUUUUUUUCUAUCUCAGGAUGAGCUCUGAUAGAGUUUCUUUCCUGGUAUUUGUACAAGCAGGAAGACGCACAAUGAAGCAAACAGACGCCACACUUACCCGAGUGUGUCAGCCGUGUGAGUCGGCACUCUCAUGCACAGUGAUUUCAGCGUCGUUUACCUAACAUGAAGCCAUUGAGCCGUGCCUCUCUGGAGGCCAAGCAGCUGUGCUUCGGUGCAGCACACAGCAGCCGACUGCGGCCUCGCCCCGCCGCUGUGCGAGUGACUGCACCAAGCCCUACUUUGAGUCAGGAGUUUCAGUAUGACUCCCUGCUGCUAACUGCUACCGGCAGCAAAACACAAUGCGUUUCCGUGCACUCAGACCUGGGGUGAUAACAACUGUGUGUAUUGGAAUGUAAUUACAACAUUCUAGGAUUUACAGUGGAGGUGAGUCAAAGUUGGUUCUUUUUAACAGGGCAACAGCAUGGAGAAAUCACUUGGUAAGAAGUUUUAGAUCUGUAAAUAAUGUGUGUCCUUUAAGAACUAUGAACAUAUGUCUGUAAUUUCCCCCUCCAAUGUUUACAAAAACAUAUUUUUUAGUUACUUUUUUAUGUUUUUUGAACAUUUAACAGCCUUUUUAGCAUAGAACUGUAUACAAAAUUAACAUUAACUGAUAUGAGUGAUGUUAUAAGUUUUUUAUUUGAUUAGUCAUAGUUAGAAAAAACCUUUUAAGUGUCUUUCCAGAGUAUGAAAAAGAUCCAAUGUGAGGGUUAGAAGGUUUUCAGCCUGUUAAGAAGACAUCCUUCCUCUUCAUCUUCAAGUAGUCUGUCAUCCUUGGUCACCGUCAGCCCUGUUCUUGCCCCGGUGAACAUUCAACGCUGUCGGUGAGUUUGAGCUAAAUUGAAGAAAACCAUCGACCGUUGACUGUACCCCGUGGCCAGUCCUUGUCAUUCGGUGUCCCAAAGAAUAAAAAGGAUUUAAAUCUAAGAAACUUGUGCGCAGGAAGGACCAUGACCCUUUCAGAGACGGAGAAACUAAAAAGACCUCACAACUCAUUUUGUACAAAUUUGCAACAAUCUCCAGGCUUUCUUUCAUAGCAAAGGUCACAAUCAACAUUCAUUGCUGUCGGUGGGUUUAACUAUGUGGAAGAGCUCACUGAACGAUGAAUGCAACUGUGUCCCAGAUUUCUUCCAACCAUCAAAGGAAAUACUGCUGCAAUGUGUUGAUGGAGACAUAAUUUCAUCUGCCAGACUUCCUAGCCUCAACAACAGCAACAUGGGUGGUAUAAACUCACAUUUCAUAACUUCAAUAUAAUUAAAAUGGGCAGUUCUUCUUUUUAUUUUUAUUUUAACAUAUGGUGUACCUUGUGUGUCUUCUUUGUUGUUUUUUUUUGUGGAAAGCUAUUAAAAACUAUGAUGGGUAACUCUACAAUGUGUCCUUCAUUUAAUCAUUACACCCUAAAUCUGUUGUGUUUAUUGCAUUUAAUGCAUAAAUAAAAACAGGCCUCCUUUGUGUUUGUUUGAUGAAACUGAUGAGAGGCACAACCAUGAAAGCUUUUACUUCGAAAUAUCAGAAAGUUUCUGCAACAAAUGUCACUGACCAAAUUAUUUACUCAUUCUCAUCCAAACGUCCAACAACGAUUCAUCCCAUACAUUCUGUUACAAUCCACCACCAAAACUUCAGAAAACAAGGCUUUUUGAAACAAAAAUUAUCAUAAAUAUUUCUUGUUGGUGGUAUUUUGAUUAUUCUGCAUAGUCAGCAAAACGAAUCAGUCUAGAUAAGUUCAGCAGUAUUUGUUAACACACUCCUGGCCUGAAGUUUUUCAAUCUAAUUGAAUCAAAUGUCUACUCUAAUUGCAAAGUCCACUGCUUGAUCACUAAAUAUUCAAUUCAAUUUUAUUUUUAUAGCCCAAUAUCACAAAAGACUUGCCUCAUUGGGCUUCACGUUGGUAAUUUACAGAAGCAGAAGGUGAAAAUAUAAACAAUAGCUAAAACCUAAACAGACUAAAUAAAACCAGUUAUGAUACGAAGGACAAAUAUGGAGGGCAAAUUAAAGACCCUUUUAACUGACAAAAUAUAUGUACACAUAUCAAACAUAGGGAUUAAGGUUUAAAAUGAUGUCUCCUUAAAUAAUCUCAAAAGGUUUGUUAGUGAAUGGUGGGAGGAAUACAAUAACAGAAAAUAUUCAUAACCUUCUCUUAUCAGGUUUUUUAUGUCAGUACACAAAAAAAAAAAA